rnacentral:rRNA from 1 species
UGACCUCAAAUCAGGUAGGACUACCCGCUGAACUUAAGCAUAUCAAUAAGCGGAGGAAAAGAAACUAACAAGGAUUCCCCUAGUAACUGCGAGUGAAGCGGGAAAAGCUCAAAUUUAAAAUCUGGCGGUCUUUUGGCUGUCCGAGUUGUAAUCUAGAGAAGUGCUAUCCGCGCUGGACCGUGUACAAGUCUCCUGGAAUGGAGCAUCAUAGAGGGUGAGAAUCCCGUCUUUGACAUGGACUGCCAGGGCUUUGUGAUGUGCUCUCAAAGAGUCGAGUUGUUUGGGAAUGCAGCUCAAAAUGGGUGGUAAAUUCCAUCUAAAGCUAAAUAUUGGCGAGAGACCGAUAGCGAACAAGUACCGUGAGGGAAAGAUGAAAAGAACUUUGGAAAGAGAGUUAAACAGUACGUGAAAUUGCUGAAAGGGAAACGCUUGAAGUCAGUCACGUCGUCAAGGGAUCAACCUUGCUUUUGCUUGGUGCACUUUCUGGUUUGACGGGUCAGCAUCAAUUUUGACUAUUGGAAAAAGGCUCUAGGGAAUGUGGCAUCUUUGGAUGUGUUAUAGCCCUUGGUCAUAUACAAUGGUUGGGAUUGAGGAACUCAGCACGCCGCAAGGCCGGGUUUUAAACCACGUACGUGCUUAGGAUGC